GGCAGAGUAGUGUAGUGGUUAGAGUACCAGAUGAGGACCAGGGUUCAAAUCCCUGCUCAGCCA
rnacentral:tRNA from 1 species